UUUGAGUUUAUUGACACUUGGCAUGAGUUUGACAUGGCCGUCACCGAUAUUAGUAAAGUUGAGGAAUCCAAAUGAAAACCCGAUCACUACGUCACUAGAUAACAAUCAAAUAUCUUGGAUUGUGUCAGUAUCGUUCUUGGCGUCAGUAUUCACGACUAUUUUAAUGGGUUUCAUUGUAAAUCGAUUCGGGAAGAAGCAGUGGCUAGUAUUCGCUUAUUUGCCAAGAAUUACAUCUGGUUUCAUUUAUGUCUUCGCUACCAGUUAUUGGAUGAUUAUAAUAGGACGGAUUUUAAAUGGAAUAUCUGAUGUUUUAAUUUUAAACAGUGUUGCGUCCUAUUCAGCCGAAAUAGCAAGCAAAGAAAUAAGAGGUUCUCUUGGAACACUACCACAAGUUCUAUCUUCAUUAGGAAUGUUGAUAUCGCUAAGUUUGGGACCUUAUGUGUCGUAUUUUGUUUUGAAUGUCUCAUUUACAAGUAUUGUGAUUUUAACUUUCAUACCGAUAUUACUUUUACCUGAAAGUCCACAUUUUCUAUAUUCAAAAGGUGAGUUUUUGUAACCGUGUUCCACUGACAUACUUGUGUUAAGACAUAUAGAGUUAUCUUUUG